GGAGGGAUGGCAGAGCCUGGUCAAAUGCGCGAGGUUCAGGGCUUCGUCCCUUAGGGGUCCGAGGGUUCAAAUCCCUCUCCCUCCA
rnacentral:tRNA from 1 species